AUUGAACGCUGGCGGCAUGCCUUACACAUGCCAGUCGAACGGUAACAGGUCUUCGUUUGCUGUCUGGUGGUGGACGCGGGCGUAAUACAUCGGAACGGGCCCCAUCGUGGGGGGAAACGGAGCAAAAGCGGUGCUAAUAGCGCAUACGGUCUACUGAUGAAAACCGGGUACUUCAAGACCUUGAGCCGGCCUAGCGGCCGAUGGCAGAUUAGGUAGUUGGUGGGUUAAUAGCUUACCAAGCCGACGAUGUGUAGCUGGUCUGAGAGGACGAGCAGCCACACUGGAACUGAGACACGGCCCAGACUCCUACGGGAGGCAGCAGUGGGGAAUUUUGGACAAUGGGCGAAAGCCUGAUCCAGCAAUGCCGCGUGCAGGAUGAAGGUCUUCGGGUUGUAAAAUGCUUUUGUACGGAACGAAAAGAUGCUUACGAAUAAAGAGGGUCCAUGACGGUACCGUAAGAAUAAGCAACGGCUAACUACGUG
rnacentral:rRNA from 1 species